UACGUAGGAAACGAGCGUUGUCCGGAAUUACUGGGCGUAAAGCGCGUGUAGGCGGAUGAGCAAGUCUGCUGUGAAAGCUCCUGGCUUAACCGGGAGUGGUCGGUGGAAACUGCUCGUCUGGAGGACGGUAGAGGUAGGUAGAAUUCCCGGUGUAGUGGUGAAAUGCGUAGAGAUCGGGAGGAAUACCUGUGGCGAAGGCGGCCUACUGGGCCGGACCUGACGCUGAGACGCGAAGGCGUGGGGAGCGAACGGG
rnacentral:rRNA from 1 species